rnacentral:tRNA from 1 species
GGUUUUAUAGUUUAUUUAAAAAUUUUAAAUUGCAAAUUUAAAGAAAAGAAAUUUUAAGACUU